UAUUUAAUUCAGUCAUCUUUAAACCUUCAGCAAGUAGAUCAGUUGAAUGUUGGAAAAAAUUUGUUUCAAAAAGUUUAAAAAAUUCGGAAAUUAUUGUGUUAACUGUUUACAUUUUAUGUUGAAAUCCAUGUUUGCGGUCUAGCUGCGUACAGUAAUGUUACCCAAUUUUAUCGGAACUGCGUUAUCGGCAUUAAAUCCCCGACCGGGUCAGGAUCCAAAAACGGCUGAGUCAAUUAUCGACGGCCAGCCCGUCAGGGCAGUUGUGUCGAUUGCACCAUUUAGUCCCAGGCCAACAUUGGAGUUUGAGGCUAUUCCUAUUGGUUCUAUAGCGGUCCAACGCUUAUUAAUUCAAAAUCCGACUGGUUCUGACAGAUAUCUGUAUAUCAAAAGCCACCUUCCACCUAGUCUAGAUGUGGCUUUCGACUGGCACGAAUGUGCGUUGGCCAAACAUACUAAUAUGCUGUUAACGAUAACAUGGAUACCCACUGACGAAGUACAGACUAAAUCACUAAUAAUAAUAUACGAUGGUGGAAUGAUGCACAGGAAUAUAGUGAUACAUUUUUCAUCUGUAUGGGAGGAAGAGGUAUAUAACCCUGAUGCGGAUUCUCCGGAGGAAGACACAAAGGAAACAACCGUUGACAACGAACUCUCCAAACUGAAUGAAAUGCUAAAGGCGAGGCCACAACUUUCUUGUACUGCUGUUUCCCACACGGACGUUUCUGCCGUGAAAUAGUAAGAUUUUAACGAAAUUAUUUUUCGUCAACUAGUGCAAAUGAAACAUUUAACCAAUUCAUCCAGAAUUGAACUUUGACAAAACUUUUACUGAACAAAACACUCCAUUAAUCGUGAGAGGAGUGUGCAAUCCAUGUUCAAACAUUUAGCUUUCUUCGGGUACCAUACUUAACAUACAACAUAGAAAACAAGGAUGUGGUAAUUGCUUCCCAGUGGUAUAUACAAAGAUGCUAAUUGUUAUUAUAUAUGCGAAGUAUUGGACCAUAUACGGAUAAAAUUAUGCCAAAAAUCGCGCCCGUUUUGUAUCACCCUGUAUGUAUAUCUAGACCUAAUUUCUCAAACUGCAACAAUAUAUUCAAGAAAUACCCAUAGUCGUUUGUAAUGUUUGAUGUUUUCAAUUUUUACGACUUGUCUUUGUUUUGUACUUUUAAAUAUUAUGAUGUAUUGCUUAUUUUAUUAAAAUUAUGUUUUACUGAUUGCUCCUGUUUACAACUACUGUGCAAUAUUUUCAAUAAAUGCUUGUUUUUUAAUA